UACGUAGGGGGCGAGCGUUGUCCGGAAUCAUUGGGCGUAAAGCGCGUGUAGGCGGCCCGGUAAGUCCGCUGUGAAAGUCGGGGGCUCAACCCUCGGAUGCCGGUGGAUACUGUCGGGCUAGAGUGCGGAAGAGGCGAGUGGAAUUCCUGGUGUAGCGGUGAAAUGCGCAGAUAUCAGGAGGAACACCAAUUGCGAAGGCAGCUCGCUGGGACGUGACUGACGCUGAGACGCGAAAGCGUGGGGAGCGAACAGG
rnacentral:rRNA from 1 species